AGCGAACGCUGGCGGCAGGCCUAACACAUGCAAGUCGAGCGCCCAGCAAUGGGAGCGGCAGACGGGUGAGUAACGCGUGGGGAUCUGCCCGAUGGUACGGAAUAAUUUCGGGAAACUGGGACUAAUACCGUAUGUGCCCGCAAGGGGAAAGAUUUAUCGCCAUCGGAUGAACCCGCGUCGGAUUAGCUAGUUGGUGUGGUAAAGGCGCACCAAGGCGACGAUCCGUAGCUGGUCUGAGAGGAUGAUCAGCCACACUGGGACUGAGACACGGCCCAGACUCCUACGGGAGGCAGCAGUGGGGAAUAUUGGACAAUGGGCGCAAGCCUGAUCCAGCCAUGCCGCGUGUGUGAUGAAGGCCUUAGGGUUGUAAAGCACUUUCACCGGUGAAGAUAAUGACGGUAACCGGAGAAGAAGCCCCGGCUAACUUCGUGCCAGCCGCCGCAGUAA
rnacentral:rRNA from 1 species